UACGGAGGGUGCAAGCGUUAUCCGGAUUCACUGGGCGUAAAGGGUGCGUAGGUGGUUGUGCAAGUCUGAUGUGAAAUCUCCGGGCUUAACCCGGAAAUGGCAUUGGAAACUGCAUGGCUAGAGGGUUGGAGGGGGGACUGGAAUACUUGGUGUAGCAGUGAAAUGCGUAGAUAUCAAGUGGAACACCAGUGGCGAAGGCGAGUCCCUGGACAACACCUGACACUGAGGCACGAAAGCUAGGGGAGCAAACAGG
rnacentral:rRNA from 1 species